GAUGAACGCUGGCGGCGUGCCUAAUACAUGCAAGUCGAGCGAACAUAUGAGGAUCUUGCUCCUCUUACGUUAGCGGCGGACGGGUGAGUAACACGUGGAUAACCUACCUAUAAGACUGGGAUAACUUCGGGAAACCGUAGCUAAUACCGUAUAAUAUAUUGAACCGCAUGGUUCAAUAGUGAAAUACGGUUUUGCUGUCACUUAUAGAUUUAUCCGCGCCGCAUUAGCUAGUUGGUAAGGUAACGCCUUACCAAGGUAACGAUGCGUAGCCGACCUGCGAGGGUGACCGGCCACACUGAAACUGAGACACGGUCCACACUCCUACGGGAGGCAGCAGCAGGGAAUCUUCCGCAAUGGGAGAAAGCCUGACGGAGCAACGCCGCGUGAGUGAUGAAGGUCUUCGGAUUGUAAAACUCUGUUAUUAGGGAAGAACAAAUGUGUAAGUAAAUAUGCACGUCUUGACGGUACCUAAUCAGAAAGCCAAGGCUAACUACGUG
rnacentral:rRNA from 1 species